GACGAACGCUGGCGGCGUGCCUAACACAUGCAAGUCGUACGCUUGUAAAAGCGUGGCGAACGGGUGAGUAUAAGCAAGGAACAUGCCUUAUUCCGGGAAAUACCCAGCCGAAAGGUUGGCUAAUGUCCCAUGGUCUCGCAAGAGUAAAGCUCCGGCGGAAUAAGAUUGGCCUUGCUCCUAUCAGCUAGUUGGUGAGGUAAAGGCUUACCAAGGCUUCGACGGGUAGCUGGUCUGAGAGGAUGAUCAGCCACACUGGGACUGAGACACGGCCCAGACUCCUACGGGAGGCAGCAGUGGGGAAUCUUGCGCAAUGGGCGAAAGCCUGACGCAGCCAUGCCGCGUGAAUGAUGAAGGCCUUAGGGUUGUAAAGUUCUUUUACCCGUGACGAUGAUGACGGUAACGGGGGAAUAAGCUCCGGCAAACUUCGUGCCAGCAGCCACGGUAAAUCUCGCGUGA
rnacentral:rRNA from 1 species